ensembl:lncRNA
CAUCUCGUCGUCUGCUUCCAGUAAGCUUGCCAGCAAUUCCUAGUGUGUUCGGUAACCUACAAGGUGGAUUUUGAAGUGCAGAUCCCCUAUUUGCAUGUCAGCAAAAUCUAAGAAAUGCUAAAUGUCCAAUGAAUUAACCAGUUGCACUGAGGCAGGCUCUUUUUGCAUUAUAAAAAUAACAAACUACUUUGUCUAUGUGGACAAUUUUUUGUGGGGUUAACGCAGAGCCCUUGUGAGUUCAUAUGCGGAAAUAUUGAGAUAUCAGCAAGUUUUUGCCACACUUUACUCGCCCAACUAGUUGUUGUUAAUUUGUCUUCAUUCAUUUGCAAUAGCCAUGUCAGGUUUUAUUUUAAAUAUGAUUUUGGUGCUACAUCAUAUUAAAAAAGGCUGGACAUCAAUAUGUCUAUGCAUCCCAAGUAAGUAAGUAGUGAUGUAAUCAGUACUGUUGUGAUAAAACAGUUUUAGAUCAUGUUUCCAAAUGUUGGAUUCCAAAGCCUUCUCACACUGAUUGUCCUCCGUUUGUCUUCAUUAAAUCAGUUUCAAGUGAUGCAUCUUAGCCGAUAUAUAUUUUUAAUGGAUGCCAUGUUUUCAUGCAUCAUUUUUUCAAAGCAAAUGAGGGCGGUUGGGCCUUUUACCAUAAACCGCCUAUAUGACACUACAUAUAUACAUAUAUUAGGAUAAAGGACAAGAUCAGUGAGCAAACCAAAACCAGAUCCAUUAAUUGCUUCUCCACUUCUACUCCUGACCCCUGGGGAGUGUGUGACACGGGAGUGGCGGGUUGAAAUGUCCCCUUCAUUAAGCCGAUGCAGAAUCAAUCCUCUGAAGAGGUCGCACAGCGGCUAAUCAUACAGCAGAGUUGGGUACGUGUGGAGAAGACACAGGCAUAGUUUGUCUUCCUAAAAAACAUUUUGCUGUAAUAGAAAUGAGAAUCGAUUCUGACUAAAUCUUUCUGGUAGAGUAUAUAUCGGUGUGCGAUAAAACGACUGUUUUUUCAUUAGGUAAUUUUAGGAAUUUCUAGUAAAGCGACUCCCAUUAAUACCAUUUCGUUUAUGUUUAGUUAAAUUGAGGUUCAAGUAUCAAUUCAGACUGAACUUGAUCUUGAAACACUUUUUCUAGUUGUGUGUAUUACCAAUACCAGCCAUAACGCCUAUUAUUUAAAUGGAUUUUCACUGCCAUUCAGUACUGUCUGUACUAUGUGCCAAAAUAAGGUGAAUCCAAUCAUUGACAGUGCAGUCAUUAGGUGAUGAGGGCCUGAUGAAUAGUGUCAACUGGGUGUCUUGUUUGAUUAUCUGGGAGGGAUCCCAGAGGCUUGGCUCUCUUCUAUGACUUUUGUGUGGUGUAUUGCUUGAAAUACAGUUUUUCCAAUUUGUUUUGCAUGUAUGUUGUGGCCCCCUAAGAGUGGAGGACUUUGUCUAGGAGACAUGAAUUCCUGGUGUAGGUAUUCAGUGUUUUGGACUGUUGUAUAUAAAAUAUAACUGCGUACAAGAAUACUAAAGAAGGAAUAAAUUAAAAAAGUAAGUAAAGUCAUGUGCUUCCAAUCAUUCAUUUAGUCAGAGUGUCAACUCAAUAAGCUAAUUGUCCCAAAAAUUGAAAUAAAAAUAACACUGGAUUAUAUUUGAGCACAGCUCAGAAAUGGCAAACUCCGCCAAUCACUAUAAACGCUGUUAUAUAGAGAAGGCAUUGCGGAAAGUAUCAAUAUUGAAUGGUUCUAGCUGAGACAAUGCAGACAGAAUAGUAACGAGAACUGUAUUUGACACUUUCUAAAGACCUGUCGGCCAUGUGGAGCCCCAAAAAUGUGAUGUUUCAUUCUAGAACAUGAAACAAUGAUUGAAUAACAAAAAUGAUUAAUUAUAUUAAUUCAAGCAAGUCAAAACUAAGCAACUCUUUUCACUGUAUUGUAUCAAUACCGCCUUUUAAACAAAAACCGAAGCUUGCUUCCUUAGCGUCGACCACACUUGGAACACAACA